rnacentral:rRNA from 1 species
UACGGGGGGGGCAAGCGUUGUUCGGAAUUACUGGGCGUAAAGGGCGCGUAGGCGGCCAUCUAAGUCAGACGUGAAAUCCCUCGGCUCAACCGAGGAACUGCGUCUGAUACUGGAAGGCUUGAAUCCGGGAGAGGGAUGUGGGAUUCCAGGUGUAGCGGUGAAAUGCGUAGAUAUCUGGAGGAACACCGGUGGCGAAGGCGGCAUCCUGGACCGGUAUUGACGCUGAGGCGCGAAAGCUAGGGGAGCAAACGGG